rnacentral:rRNA from 1 species
AAACGACUYUCGGCAACGGAUAUYUCGKCUYUBGCAUCGAUGAAGAACGUAGCGAAAUGCGAUACUUGGUGUGAAUUGCAGAAUCCCGUGAACCAUCGAGUCUUUGAACGCAAGUUGCGCCCGAAGCCGUCAGGUUGAGGGCACGUCUSCCUGGGCGUCACA